GGGCGAGUGAAAAUGCUCUUAAAUCCCAGGUGGGGGCCCACUUAUGCUCCAUCCUGUUGACCAGUGCCAUUCAAUGGCCAAGGCCAAGGUUAAGGGAGAUGGAAAUCUAUCCAUCCCAUUGGCAGAGGUGUGGCUGCAGGAAGAGGUGAAGAAUUGGGACUAAUUUUCAAUAUACCACAGGAGGAGCUGAGGAAGAAGUAUGUCUACUUAAGAGGCCCCCAUAGACAUCCAGCCUCCUGGGCUCUGUCUCCAGCAUGAACCAGCCUGGUGGCUGUGACCUGGCCAGAGAAGCUCAACACUCAGCGUUCCACCCCAAGCCCGGUGAAAGUAUCACGAAUUUGUUGAGCAAUCGAAGCCCAAGCUCCCAUCAUCCCAACAGCUGCAGUGAAUCUAUCUGUGACUUCUCUGGAUACCCAUUAAAAAACAGCUCUCAGUAAUAGGGUGUGGAGGGCUG
rnacentral:lncRNA from 1 species